UACGAAGGUGACAAGCGUUGUUCGGAAUCAUUGGGCGUAAAGCGCACGUAGGCGGGUUUGAAAGUCGAUUGUGAAAACCCUGGGCUCAACCCGGGACCUGCAGUCGAAACUUCAAGUCUUGAAUACUCGAGAGGAUGGUGGAAUUCCAGGAGUAGAAGUGAAAUUCGUAGAUAUCUGGAGGAACACCGGAGGCGAAAGCGGCCAUCUGGCGAGUUAUUGACGCUAAGGUGCGAAAGCGCGGGGAUCAAACAGG
rnacentral:rRNA from 1 species